rnacentral:tRNA from 1 species
GCCUGAGUGGCGGAAUUGGCAGACGCGGGGGACUCAAAAUCCCUUGCCCGAAAGGGCGUGCGGGUUCGACUCCCGCCUCAGGCA